CGAACUGCCAACCCAAGGGAUCUAGCUAUGGGUUACCUAAGGACAAAUUUAUAUUUGCUUGUUUUAACCAGCUAUACAAGAUGGAUCCUGAUAUUUUCAAUACAUGGUGCAACAUCCUUAAGCGAGUACCAAAUAGUGCACUUUGGCUUCUCAGUUUUCCUGCUGCUGGCGAGUCAAGACUCUGCAAUUGUACUGCAAUUUUACCAUUUCUCAAGAUAAAUCAUUUACAUGCAUAAUAUUUGAAUUCUUCUUUGUUAUUUAUAUUUCAUAAUGUAGUAAUGGGUAUUUAUCUUACAAAGGAAAGAUAAAUUAGUAGCUGAUAAGCUAUUGGUGUUCCAGAUGCUGUUCAAAGAAGUGUACAACCAGAUGAGAUUAUUUUCACAGAUGUUGCCAUGAAGGGUGAACAUAUCAAGCGCAGUGCUUUAGCAGAUUUAUUCUUGGACACGCCAUUAUGCAAUGCGCACGCCACAGGCACUGAUGUUCUAUGGGCUGGUCUUCCAAUGGUGACCCUUCCACUUGAGAAAAUGGCUACGCGAGUAGCUGGUUCACUGUGUCUAGCCACUGGUGCAGGAGAGGAAAUGAUAGUUAACAUGUAAUGACUUAAAACAAACUUACAAUUUGGUUAAAAUAAGCUCACUCAAUUUGGUGAAAAAUGAUUGUGGUAACUCACUCAAUUUGAAUACCAAUAUGCCCCAAAUGAACUAGAUUAUCACUUGAAAGGUCUCUUUGGUUGUGCGACUGGGUUAAUCUCCGUCAAAUUUUAAUUGAUAUAAUUAGCAUAUACUCUUGGCUUUCUACUUUCUCUCUUCUGACUUAUCCUUUUCCCAAACAUCGAAAAGUUUGAAAGAGUACGAAGAAAGAGCAGUAUCGUUGGCUCUAAAUUGUCCAAAACUCCAAGACCUUACCAAUACACUCAAAGCGGCUCGCAUGACUUGUCCUCUAUUUGACACGACACGCUGGGUGAGAAAUUUUGAAAGAGCGUAUUUCAAGAUGUGGAAUCUGUA